rnacentral:rRNA from 1 species
CCUACGGGAGGCAGCAGUAGGGAAUUUUGCGCAAUGGGGGAAACUCUGACGCAGCAAUGCCGCGUGAUUGAAGCAGGUCUUCGGGUGGUAAGAUUCUUUAGUCAGGGCAGAAUAAAAUGACGGUCCCUGAAGAAUAAGCUGCGACUAACUACGUGCCAGCAGCCGCAGUAAUACGUGGGGAGCCAGCGUUGUUCGGCAUGGCUGGGCGGAAAGGGUGCGGAGGCGGGUAUACAAGUUAGAAAUUAAAUAACCAGGGCUUAACUCGGGUGCUGCUUCUAAAACUGGAAGACUUGAGUGCAGUAGAGGUUAGUGGAAUUCCUGGUGUAGCGGUGGAAUGCGUAGAUAUCAGGAGGAACAUCAGAGGCGAAGGCGGUUAACUGGACCGCAAUUGACGCUGAGGAACGAAAGCGUGGGGAGCAAAUGGGAUUAGAUACCCGUGUAGUC